rnacentral:rRNA from 1 species
GACGAACCGUGCGAACGUUAUUCGGAAUUACUGGGCGUAAAGCGUACGUAGGCGGCUUGGCAAGUUAGAGGUGAAAGCCCGGAGCUCAACUCCGGAAUAGCCUUUGAGACUGCCUCGCUUGAACGUCGGAGAGGUGAGUGGAAUUCCGAGUGUAGAGGUGAAAUUCGUAGAUAUUCGGAAGAACACCAGUGGCGAAGGCGACUCGCUGGACAAGUAUUGACGCUGAGGUGCGAAAGCGUGGGGAGCAAACAGG